rnacentral:rRNA from 1 species
UACGAGGGGGGCGAGCGUUGUUCGGAAUUAUUGGGCGUAAAGGGUGUGUAGGCGGUUUGGUAAGUCUGAUGUGAAAUCUAUGGGCUCAACUCAUAGUCUGCAUCGGAAACUGCCGGGCUUGAGUAUGGGAGAGGUGAGUGGAAUUCCUGGUGUAGCGGUGAAAUGCGUAGAUAUCAGGAGGAACACCUGUGGCGAAAGCGGCUCACUGGACCAUAACUGACGCUGAUGCACGAAAGCUAGGGGAGCAAACAGG